rnacentral:lncRNA from 1 species
GGAGAUCUCAGGGAAGGUGCAUGGGUGAGAUAAGGAAGAGGUACCACAGAGACAUGAGGCCUCAGUUUUCACUGGAGGAAUUCCAUACAUGAUGCCUAAAAAUGAAAAAUGAAGUAAUUUCAGCAUAUUAUUUAGAGGUCUUAUGGUAUUAUCAAAAUAAUUAGCUAAAUGAUUGGGACCCCAGAGAGACACUCACUCCACAUAAGAUGACGAGAAGGUGCCACCUAUGAGCCAGAAAGUGGACGCUUAUCAAACACCAAGUCUACCUUGAUCUUGGACUUCCCAGCCUCCAGGAAGGAGAUUCAGAACAUGGAGAUGAAUUAUUAAAACAAAAAACAAAACAAAAGUAGAAAAGACUGUGCUGUGGUUCGAAUGUGUCCCCUCCAAAAUUCAGGUGUUGCCAAUGUGACAGUAUUAAGAAGUGGGCCUUCAACAGGUGAUUAGGCAAUAACGGCUCCUCCCUGUGAAUGUGAAUGUGAUUGAGAGCCUUAGGAAAGCUUUCAUGCGGCAUCCGGUCUCUUGCCAUUUGGCCGUCCCUCAUGUGAGGACACAGCAUUCCUUUCCACCCCGAGAUGUGGCAAUAAGUUACCCUCCUGGGAGCAGGGAGUGGUCCUUGCCAGACAAUUGCAGCUACAGGUACUUAGAUCUUGGGCUUUCAAGACUCCAGGAAUGUGAGAAAUACAUUUCUGUCCUUUAUAAAUUGCCUCGUCUUUGGGAUUAUGUUAUAGCAGCAACAAACAAACUAGGACACACCUAUAAUCCAAUCACCCAAAAAUAACCUCUGCAAACAUCUGGCCGAUGCUCUUUGGGCAUUUUUUUUUUUUCUAUGUUUGUGUUUGUGUGUUUUUCUGUAUGACAAAUUAGGUUCAAAAUAUGCACAUCAUUUUCUAGCCAGUUUUUUUCACUCCAUAAUAUAUAGAUAUUAGAACUAUAUGUCAAUGUCCACACAUAUCCAUCCAUAUUGCAAUAUUUAGUAGUUUCCUGGUAUUUAUAUGUUAUAUGCACAUAACACAGUUUCUGCAGCCGAUCUGCGGCCUUUGAAUGUUAGGUCAUUUCUAAUUCUUGGCUUUUAUAAAUAAGCCACAGUAAAUACUGCAGUACUCAUACAUUUUUAAACUCUAAAUAUUUCUUUAGGAUUAUGCCCCCAGAAAUAUUCUUUUUCAUUAAAGAUUGAUACACUAUUAAGGAUCUAGGAUAUAUUACCAGAUUGUUCUUAGGAAAGUUUAUUUCUCUUAAGGGUGCCUAUUUCCCCACAACCUAGCAAACAUUGGAAAUUAUUCUCCCUUUUUCUCCCAAUGUAAUAGGAAAACAAUGAUAUUUCAUGAUGUCUUUAUUGUAGAUUGUCUUUCUUUCAUUCUUGAUAAAAAUAGACUUUUUAAUAGGUUUAUAACCACUUAAUUUUUUUCUUUUGAAAAUGACCAGCUCAUAUUAUCUGCCUGUCUUUCUAUUGGGGUAUUUACCUUUGAUUUGUUUUUUACCAAUAUGAAAAUAUUUUUAUAUAGAUAAGCUUUGAUCAUUUAUAUUGCAAAAAAACUAUUUCAGUUUGUCUGACAUUUUAACUUUGUUUACAAUAUUUUAACCAUUCAGAAUCUCUUUAGCAUGAUGCAACCAUAUUUAGCCCUAGUUUCUUUCAUGAUUUCUGCAUUUGGGGUCAUGCUUUCAGAGCCCAUCACCACCCUGUGAUUAGGUAAAUGGAAACCAGAUGUGAGUGCAGUAGCAGUCGCUGCAGCUGUGGCAUCUGCCGUCGCAGGAUCUGUGUGCAGGAAGCUUAGUCCAUCCACACACCAGUUUCAACAAUAAAUCCAUUCACACCAAUUGUUUUGUGCUGAUUGGGGGAGGGUAGAAAGAGAGAGAGGGUUUUAUGAUGAAGGAAACAUCACCGUUUAGUACAAUACUUCCUAUUAUCAUUUUCUUUUUUUCUCUU